AAUUAUCCAUUUUAAGAAUGCCCUAUAAAAGCCAAUUUUAAAACCCUAAAAUCAUUUUUCUUCUGCCUUUUGACAGAUGCGCCGCAACUCCCCUCUUUCUCUGCAGUUCCAAUUCCAUUUCGAAUCGGCCACAACGACGGCGGUACCUCGACGGCGCGCCACCACCGGUGAAGGAGAACGUGAAAACGAGCAUUGCAGGGCCGCUGAACGUGCGAGUACGACGUGGGUAAUGGAACGGUUCUUCGGCGUGGGCAGUUGCUGAGGCGCCGAUUUGCUUCAACCUACUUCCAUUGUUGCUGAAGACCUGUUGAGGGCUAGGGAUUGCACACUUGGUCCUUAUUGGGCCAAAUGUAAUUGGGUUAGGUUGUAAUUUGGGUUUUGGGUCAGUUUUAGUGAGUAUAGUUGGGCUCGGGCAAUAAUUGGGUAUUACACCAAUGUUAAUAAUAUCGACGUUCAAAGAAUAAACGAAUUAUCAAUACAAAAGAUGAGUUAUAUGU